CCAGUGCGGGAGCUAUAAUGCAGUCGAGCGAACAGAUGAGAAGCUUGCUUCUCUGAUGUUAGCGGCGGACGGGUGAGUAACACGUGGGUAACCUACCUAUAAGACUGGGAUAACUCCGGGAAACCGGGGCUAAUACCGGAUAAUAUUUUGAACCGCAUGGUUCAAUAGUGAAAGACGGUUUCGGCUGUCACUUAUAGAUGGACCCGCGCCGUAUUAGCUAGUUGGUAAGGUAACGGCUUACCAAGGCGACGAUACGUAGCCGACCUGAGAGGGUGAUCGGCCACACUGGAACUGAGACACGGUCCAGACUCCUACGGGAGGCAGCAGUAGGGAAUCUUCCGCAAUGGGCGAAAGCCUGACGGAGCAACGCCGCGUGAGUGAUGAAGGUCUUCGGAUCGUAAAACUCUGUUGUUAGGGAAGAACAAAUUUGUUAGUAACUGAACAAGUCUUGACGGUACCUAACCAGAAAGCCACGGCUAACUACGUGCCAGCAGCGCGCGGGUAAUA
rnacentral:rRNA from 2 species